UUGUUUUAAAUAUGAUGAAAGAAUGUUGGUAGGGACAUCUGACUGAUGUUGAAGAAAUGCCAACGUUUCUGAUCUUUUUAC
ensembl:snoRNA